AGUGAUGACGUCACAGUUCCUUCGAUACGCAUAGCAACGAUCCCACUGGGGACAAACAAAAGUAGCGUCGUCUCCACCGAACCAGUUGUCAGUGGCAACAUAUAGGAAUCGUGUACAUUUCUUCGUUUCUUCUUUGCUGUUUUCAGUGAGUGUUUUGUUUUCUCUUUGUCCUUGAUCUCGACGGCGUUGUCGUGCUCAUUACCUUACUGAGACGUCUCUUGUGACUGUAGCCAGUGUCACGGAGGAUUUUAUUGGCGUGACGAGGUAGAUCGCCGAGAUCGAGCGUGAAAACGCUCUGCAUUAGUAGCUCCUGUAGAAUGUCUUCUGGGAUGGCGUAUCCAUGGUCAACAAAGCCAAGGUGCAAGACAGCAUAAGAGAUCGUGUAAACGAUGUGAACUCCAAAAGGUAAGCUCCUGAACAAGUGGAAAGAUAUGUGUAUUUACAAACUCUCUCUUCAUCCAUCGAUUGCCGCUAUGCAUUGCAUUUUGUCUUCACAGAUAAUCUGGACAAAUAAAUUAUAUUGUAACUGGAGAGUGCAGUCGUGCUUGGGGCCCAUCCAGUGUGUAUACCUGGGAGAAUUUUCCUCAACUGAGACGGAGUGUAGAUGGAUGGAUUACCGUAUGAGAAAUGCGAAGAUGUGGAGUUCAAGGCUAGAAGCACUUCACAUUCGGCGUGGGAUCUCGGCGUCUGGGACCUGAUAACGUCUUGGUUGGAUGGGUGAUCAAGGAUGAUACUACUCGGCACACCAAUGUACAUGUCAAUGUAGUUUUUACUUUUUCAGAGCUGCACUAUUUACGUCUUGAUGCUUACUUCGGUGCUAGAGUCGUGUCCGUGUGUUGCUACAAUGUCAUUAUCUGUAUUGUAUUCCGUCUGCUUAUACAUGUGUCUUUACGAAGUGUUUGCCGUGGCGGCGAUGUGUCUUGUCGAUCAAUAGUGUUGUGAAACCUAUCACUAUUUCUUGCUUUGCUGGCUACUCGCUCGCUCCGCGCCAUGCACGCUACUAGGUCUUGUAGUAUAUAGCUUGAUGCUUUGCAUCGAUCGCUGGUUGUUGUUGUUCUUGUUGCUUCUCUGUUGUUUGAGCUUGGUCCUAGAGUGAA